rnacentral:rRNA from 1 species
AUACCAGCUCUCCGAGUGGUGUGGAUGUUUAUUGGGCCUAAAGCAUCCGUAGCUGGCUAGGUCAGUCCCUUGUCAAAUCCACCGAAUUAAUCGUUGGAUCGCGGGGAUACUGCUUGGCUAGGGGACGAGAGAGGCAGACGGUAUUUUCGGGGGAGGGGUGAAAUCCUAUAAUCCCGAGAAGACCACCAGUGGCGAAGGCUGUCUGCUAGAACGCGCCCGACGGUGAGGGAUGAAAGCUGGGGGAGCGAACCGGAUUAGAUACCCGGGUAGUCCCAGCUGUAAACGAUGCAGACUAGGUGUUUGGACGGCCACGUGCCGUUCUAGUGCCGCAGGGAAGCUGUUAAGUCUGCCGCCUGGGGAGUACGAUCGCAAGAUUGAAACUUAAAGGAAUUGACGGGG